CCCUAGCCCUGAUCGCAACAGCAUCUCCCGAUUUAGAAAAACAAGGCUUUUUCAGCCGUAGUUUUUAUUAAUCGGGAAUAUAGUGAAGAGCAGGAAACAGC
rnacentral:sRNA from 1 species